CCAGGAGCCAAUGGAAAACUUGCACUUGAGGUGAGCGGUUCCUGUCUGAACUGAUUAACCGAGAGCUGACUGGACAAACCAGGACUAGCACAAAUGACAUCGGUCAGUCUGGGAACCCUGACGUUCAGAUUUCCGUCCAUCCAUUCUCGAAAAUCUCCGAAGUCACAGGAUUAUUCCAUGAAAGAAUGAGAAGCAGAAAGAAGAGUGGACAGCAUCAAGUGUCCCUGCCCUGAUCCACAGCCUCAGCUUUUUGG